UUUAAAUCCAUUUUUACCAAUCAAAAACUUUGCGACACAUUGUCAAUGCUCCGUUUUACGUAUCUAAUGCAAACAUCCACAAAGAUCUGAAUAUUCCAACCAUUAAAGAAGAAAUAAAGAAAACUAGUAAUAAAUACAUCGACAGACUCCACAACCACGAAAAUAAUUUAGCCUUAAGUCUAUUAGACAAUAGCCUAACAGUAAGAAGACUGAAAAGAUACCACAUUCUCGAUAUCCCUGAUAGUUAAAUCCAAC
rnacentral:lncRNA from 1 species